rnacentral:rRNA from 1 species
CCCGACCUCGGAUCAGACGCGAAUACCCGCUGAACUUAAGCAUAUCAAUAAGCGGAGGAAAAGAAACUAACCAGGAUUCCCUUAGUAACGGCGAGUGAACAGGGAAGAGCCCAGCACCGAAGCCUA